rnacentral:lncRNA from 1 species
CUCAAGCCUAACUGACACUUUAUUUCUUUAGUGCGUCAAUCUCCAGCUGCUCGAGUUGGCCGUUAGUGAUUUAUAUAUAGUAUUUAAUAAACUAUGGCAUCAUACCAUGCUCCGGUUUUUUCUAUCUUUGUUAUAUGGAUCUAUUGUUAAGCAAACAUUAUUAUUAUUAUGAUUAUUAUAAAAUUUAAGCUAUCACAGCUAAAAA